AGCAGAGUAGAGAUUGAAGCGUUAAGUAUCCGCGAACGGGGAGUUGUCGUCGGGGCGAAAAGAGUUUCUCUUGCGAUUUCAGUCUUGCAUCCCGCUGUU
rfam:Eubacterium sp. 3_1_31 genomic scaffold supercont1.2, whole genome shotgun sequence.